rnacentral:lncRNA from 1 species
GUCUCUUAAGUUUGUUUUAUCUAUCCAUUCAAUGGUGAUAGCACAUGGAUUUUUAAUGCCCUCUAGCCAUUGAUGUUGCUCUUCUCGAUCCUCCUUCUUAUGCAUGGGAUGUCUAGAUAGAUUUAUAGGAUUAUCGGGAGGUUCAAGAGAAAUAGCAUAGUAGAGAUUAUUAAGCUCAAGGAUGGGAUGGAUAGCUGAAUCAUGGGAUUGAAAUGUUUGGAAAUCGGCUAUUGAAACUUCCUUUCCUCGUCUGGGAGAUGAUUCCUUCUCUAUCUCUAAGAUUUUUCUAUGAAGACUAGUGCA